CCCGGGCUCAACCUGGGAACUGCAUUCGAAACUGGCAGGCUAGAGUCUUGUAGAGGGGGGUAGAAUUCCAGGUGUAGCGGUGAAAUGCGUAGAGAUCUGGAGGAAUACCGGUGGCGAAGGCGGCCCCCUGGACAAAGACUGACGCUCAGGUGCGAAAGCGUGGGGAGCAAACAGGAUUAGAUACCCUGGUAGUCCACGCCGUAAACGAUGUCGAUUUGGAGGUUGUGCCCUUGAGGCGUGGCUUCCGGAGCUAACGCGUUAAAUCGACCGCCUGGGGAGUACGGCCGCAAGGUUAAAACUCAAAUGAAUUGACGGGGGCCCGCACAAGCGGUGGAGCAUGUGGUUUAAUUCGAUGCAACGCGAAGAACCUUACCUGGUCUUGACAUCCACAGAACUUUCCAGAGAUGGAUUGGUGCCUUCGGGAACUGUGAGACAGGUGCUGCAUGGCUGUCGUCAGCUCGUGUUGUGAAAUGUUGGGUUAAGUCCCGCAACGAGCGCAACCCUUAUCCUUUGUUGCCAGCGGUU
rnacentral:rRNA from 1 species